GUCAGUCCCGCUUAUGCGGUGGCCAUUCAGGGUAAGUGUGUCCCGAAGGGACACCGCCGCCGCAGUUCUCCCAAGAGGAGAACGGGCGGGACAGGAGGC
rnacentral:ncRNA from 1 species